rnacentral:rRNA from 11 species
UGCUGGAGGUAUCAGAAGUGCGAAUGCUGACAUAAGUAACGAUAAAGCGGGUGAAAAGCCCGCUCGCCGGAAGACCAAGGGUUCCUGUCCAACGUUAAUCGGGGCAGGGUGAGUCGACCCCUAAGGCGAGGCCGAAAGGCGUAGUCGAUGGGAAACGGGUUAAUAUUCCCGUACUUGGUGUUACUGCGAAGGGGGGACGGAGAAGGCUAUGUUGGCCGGGCGACGGUUGUCCCGGUUUAAGCGUGUAGGUGUGUGUUCCAGGUAAAUCCGGUUCACUUUAACACUGAGGCGUGA